GCAAACUUCUAUGAAGUUGGCCGGACAAAUUGACCAUUGUGAGACAAAUGAUCAAUUUGUUCUAUAAUGAAUUUUUAUUCCAUUGGUGCCGGUAAUAUGCUGUCAAUUGAUGGACCAGUAGUACAAACAGAACUAUCGGACGACGAUUCGGAGCUAGAGGACGACGAUGAAGAAUCUGACGAACUGGAGCUCGAGGACGAUGACUCAAUGGUCUCUUUUAUCACUGGCGAAACCACGGCGGGUUUUGGCCUCGAUUUUAAAUGCUCGCGCAAAUCGUCCCUGAGGAAAAAAAAGUAGAAACGGAAUGAAUUUGGAUCUCUCGAGACGGAAAUAGUAAAUCAGAUUGUUUGUGUUCUUCGUUUUAUCAGGAAAAUGAAAGAAAGAUUAUACUCACGUGAGUCCACCCAAUCCGAUGGAUGUGAAAAAGUUGAUCGCGAAUCUCGUGUUUUUGGGAUCAUCGCGUGGGAAUAAACCGUCAAAAGCCUCUUGUAAAGUCCUGUGCAUUGAAUAUUAUGAAUUUUUUAAAAAUAAAACAAUCGGUUUGAUCAGAAA